CCGCCGACGACCUGUCUCGCCGCGCGCAUGCCCUGCCACCGCCCCGCAGAAAUGCUUCGGUUACCCACAGUCUUUCGCCAGAUGAGACCGGUGUCCAGGGUACUGGCUCCGCAUCUCACUCGGGCUUAUGCCAAAGAUGUAAAAUUUGGUGCAGAUGCCCGAGCCUUAAUGCUUUUAGCCGAUGCUGUGGCCGUUACAAUGGGGCCAAAGGGAACAACAGUGAUUAUUGAGCAGAGAUGGGGAAGUCCCAAAGUAACAAAAGAUGGUGUGACUGUUGCAAAGUCAAUUGACUUAAAGGAUAAAUAUAAAAACAUUGGAGCUAAACUUUUUCAAGAUGUUGCUAAUAACACAAAUGAAGAAGCUGGGGAUGGCACUACCACUGCUACUGUACUGGCACGCUCUAUAGCCAAGGAAGGCUUUGAGAAGAUUAGCAAAGGUGCUAAUCCAGUGGAAAUCAGGAGAGGUGUGAUGUUAGCUGUUGAUGCUGUAAUUGCUGAACUUAAAAAGCAGUCUAAAUCUGUGACCACCCCUGAAGAAAUUGCACAGGUUGCUACGAUUUCUGCAAAUGGAGACAAAGAAAUUGGCAAUAUCAUCUCUGAUGCAAUGAAAAAGGUUGGAAGAAAGGGUGUCAUCACAGUAAAGGAUGGAAAAACACUGAAUGAUGAAUUAGAAAUUAUUGAAGGCACGAAGUUUGAUUGAAGUUAUAUUUCUCCAUACUUUAUUAAUACAUCAAAAGGUCAGAAAUGUGAAUUCCAGGAUGCCUAUGUUCUGUUGAGUGAAAAGAAAAUUUCUCAUGUCCAGUCCAUCAUACCUGCUCUUGAAAUUGCCAAUGCUCACCGUAAGCCUUUGGUCAUAAUUGCUGAAGAUGUUGAUGGAGAAGCUCUAAGUACACUCGUCUUGAAUAGGCUAAAGGUUGGUCUUCAGGUUGUGGCAGUCAAGGCUCCAGGGUUUGGUGACAAUAGAAAGAACCAGCUUAAAGAUAUGGCUAUUGCUACUGGUGGUGCAGUGUUUGGAGAAGAUGGGUUGACCCUGAAUCUUGCAGACAUUCAGCCUCAUGACUUAGGAAAAGUUGGAGAGGUCAUUGUGACCAAAGAUGAUGCCAUGCUCUUAAAAGGAAAAGGUGACAAGGCCCAAAUUGAAAAACGUAUUCAAGAAAUCAUUGAGCAGUUAGAUGUCACAACUAGUGAAUAUGAAAAGGGAAAAACUGAAUGAACGGCUGGCAAAACUUUCAGAUGGCGUAGCUGUGCUGAAGGUUGGUGGGACAAGUGAUGUUGAAGUGAAUGAAAAGAAAGACAGAGUUACAGAUGCCCUUAAUGCUACAAGAGCUGCUGUUGAAGAAGGCAUUGUUUUGGGAGGGGGUUGUACCCUGCUUCGAUGCAUUCCAGCCUUGGACUCAUUGACUCCAGCUAAUGAAGAUCAAAAAACUGGUAUAGAAAUUAUUAAAAGAACACUCAAAAUUCCAGCAAUGACCACUGCUAAGAAUGCAGGUGUUGAAGGAUCUUUGAUAGCUGAGAAAAUGACGCAAAUUUCCUCAGAAGUUGGUUAUGAUGCUAUGGUUGGAGAUUUUGUGAAUAUGGUGGAAAAAGGAAUUAUUGACCCAACAAAGGUUGUGAGAACUGCUUUAUUGGAUGCUGCUGGUGUGGCCUCUCUGUUAACGACAGCAGAAGUUGUAGUCACAGAAAUUCCUAAAGAAGAGAAGGACCCUGGAAUGGGUGCAAUGGGUGGAUUGGGAGGCGGUAUGGGAGGUGGCAUGUUCUAA